GUGCUCCCUUCAGCGGCACAUAUUCUAAAACUGGAAUGAUACAGAGAUUAGCAUGGCCCCUGUGCAAGGAUGACACCCAAAUUGGUGAAGCGUUUUUUGUUGUU
ensembl:snRNA U6 U6 spliceosomal RNA